rnacentral:rRNA from 1 species
AUUGAACGCUGGCGGCAGGCCUAACACAUGCAAGUCGAGCGAGUGGCGGACGGGUGAGUAAUGUCUGGGGAACUGCCUGAUAGAGGGGGAUAACUACUGGAAACGGUGGCUAAUACCGCAUACUAUCGGAUGAACCUAUAUGGGAUUAGCUAGUAGGUGGGGUAAAGGCUCACCUAGGCGACGAUCCCUAGCUGGUCGGAGAGGAUGAUCAGCCAAACUGGAACUGAGACACGGCCCAGACUCCUACGGGAGGCAGCAGUGGGGAAUAUUGCACAAUGGGCGCAAGCCUGAUGCAGCCAUGCCGCGUGUAUGAAGAAGGUCUUAGGGUUGUAAAGUACUUUAAGCGGGGAGGCGUUACCAGCAGAAGAAGCACCGGCUAACUCCGUGCCAGCAGCCGCGGUAAUUC